ensembl:lncRNA
CUUAUGACAGUGUGGGAUAUGGGUGGGUGUGUGUAUGUGUCUGUGUUUGCUUCCCGAGUGUGAGCAAAUGUAUGUUUGAGCAUGAGUGUGUUCUUGUGCGUAUCUUUGCACUUGGUAUGUGUUUGCUGCAGGUGCUGCUCUCUCCCUGUCAGCGUCCAACAGACAAGGUGCUGCUCUCUCUCUGUCAGCGUCCAACAGACAAGGUGCUGCUCUCUCUCUGUCAGCGUCCAACAGACAAGGUGCUGCUCUCUCUCUGUCAGCGUCCAACAGGCAACGUGCUGCUCUCUCACUAGGCAAGGUGCUGCUCUCUCUCUGUCAGCCUCCACCAGGCAAGGUGCUGCUCUCUCUCUGUCAGCCUCUAACAGACAAGGUGCUGCUCUCUCUGCAAGCCUCCAACAGACAAGGUGCUGCUCUCUCUGUCAGCCUCCAACAGACAAGGUGCUGCUCUCUCUGUAAGCCUCCAACAGGCAAGGUGCUGCUCUCUCACCAGGCAAGGUGCUGCUCUCUCUGUAAGCCUCCCACAGGCAUGCUGACAGAGGAGGGUGAAGAGCUAUUCUGAAUGCUCCAUUACAUGAUCCUGCUUGCUAGCUGCUAGCCCAUCUAGCCCCCUGCUGAGAGGAACGAGCUAUGCAGUAGCAUGCUCUCAUCUCCCCC